rnacentral:rRNA from 1 species
ACUACGAGCAAUAGCUCAAACCUUACGGACUUGGCGGUGCUCCACAUUUACCUAGCAAAGCCUGUUCUAUGAUCGAUAACCCCCAAUACACCUCGGCACCCAAAGCCAAUUCCCCUAUAUACCUAAACCGUCAGCUUACCCUUGGACGCAAAUCCAGUGAGCAAAAUGUAAAACAUCCCCAACGUCAGGCCAAGGUGUAGCGGAUGAAAUGGGAGUAAUUGGGCUACAUUUUCUUAAUUAAGAAAAAUACGCCCCCUUAUAUGCCCAACUAUUCCAAGGUGGAUUUAGCAGUUGAAAGAAACAAUAGUAUUCUUUUUAAUUAGGCUAUAGAGCGCGCAAACACCGCCCGUCACCCUCUUCAACAUCCACCUUUAAGUAAUUAACUAACGCCAAUAACCAAACAAAGAAGAGGAAAGUCGUAACAUGGCAA